AGAAAGUGACUUGUUUUUGUCCCUCAGGAAAGAGAACUUGCCAUGGAAAACAACUGGCCAGAUCUGAACUGUUCAUUUUCUUCACUGCUCUUAUGCACAUAUUUACCUUAAAUCCUCCAAUCAGUAAGAAGCUGAGCCUGAAGUUCUCAAUGGGCCUCGCCUUUUCCCCAGUCAGCCACUGAAUUUGUGUUGUCCCUACACAGAAA
rnacentral:lncRNA from 1 species